rnacentral:rRNA from 1 species
UACGUAGGGGGCAAGCGUUAUCCGGAUUUACUGGGUGUAAAGGGUGCGUAGGUGGCAGGGCAAGUCAGAUGUGAAAGCCCGGGGCCCAACCCCGGUACUGCAUUCGAAACUAUCCGGCUGGAGUGCAGGAGAGGUAAGCGGAAUUCCUAGUGUAGCGGUGAAAUGCGUAGAUAUUAGGAGGAACACCAGUGGCGAAGGCGGCUUACUGGACUGUAACUGACACUGAGGCACGAAAGCGUGGGUAUCGAACA